UACGUAGGGUCCAAGCGUUAUCCGGAAUCACUGGGCGUAAAGCGUGCGUAGGUGGGCUGUUAAGUGAGAUGUGAAAGCGUGUGGCUCAACCAUAUCGUUGUGUUUCAUACUGGCAGACUAGAGGACAGCAGAGGCAAGUGGAAUUACGAGUGUAGCGGUAAUAUGCGUAGAUAUUCGUAGGAACACCAAUGGCGAAGGCAGCUUGCUGGGCUACUCCUGACACUGAGGUACGAAAGCGUGGGGAGCGAACAGG
rnacentral:rRNA from 1 species